rnacentral:rRNA from 1 species
AUUGAACGCUGGCGGCAGGCCUAACACAUGCAAGUCGAACGGUAACAGGAAGAAGCUUGCUUCUUUGCUGACGCGUGGCGGACGGGUGAGUAAUGUCUGGGAAACUGCCUGAUGGAGGGGGAUAACUACUGGAAACGGUAGCUAAUACCGCAUAACGUCGCAAGACCAAAGAGGGGGACCUUCGGGCCUCUUGCCCUCGGAUGUGCCCAGAUGGGAUUAGCUAGUAGGUGGGGUAACGGCUCACCUAGGCGACGAUCCCUAGCUGGUCUGAGAGGAUGACCAGCCACACUGGAACUGAGACACGGUCCAGACUCCUACGGGAGGCAGCAGUGGGGAAUAUUGCACAAUGGGCGCAAGCCUGAUGCAGCCAUGCCGCGUGUAUGAAGAAGGCCUUCGGGUUGUAAAGUACUUUCAGCGGGGAGGAAGGGAGUAAAGUUAAUACCUUGGCUCAUUGACGUUACCCGCAGAAGAAGCACCGGCUAACUCCGUG